AACGCACCUUGCGCUCCUUGGUAUUCCGAGGAGCAUGCCUGUUUGAGUGUCAUUUAAUUCUCAACCUUAUUAGCUUUUGCUGAUAAUGGCUUGGAUGUGGGGGGUUAUCUUUUGCUGGCUUCUUUCACAGAGGUCAGCUCCCCUGAAAUGCAUUAGCUGGUGCCCCGCGUGGACUGUCUAUUUGGUGUGAUAAUUAUCUACGCCGUGGAUGUCUGCAAUUGGUUUUGGCGCUGCUUCUAACUGUCUGUUCAUUUGGACAAUACAUGACAAUUUGACCUCAAAUCAGGUAGGACUACCCGCUGAACUUAA
rnacentral:misc_RNA from 1 species